rnacentral:rRNA from 1 species
UACGUAGGGUCCGAGCGUUGUUCGGAAUUACUGGGCGUAAAGGGCGCGUAGGCGGUCUUGUAAGUUCCGUGUGAAAUCCCUCGGCUCAACUGAGGAACCGCACGGAAAACUGCUUGGCUUGAGUUCGGGAGAGGGAAGCGGAAUUCCGGGUGUAGCGGUGAAAUGCGUAGAUAUCCGGAGGAACACCGGUGGCGAAGGCGGCUUCCUGGACCGACACUGACGCUGAGGAGCCGAAAGCCAGGGGAGCAAACGGG